CCUACGGGAGGCUGCAGUGGGGAAUUUUGCGCAAUGCUCGUAAGAGUGACGCAGCGACGCCGCGUGAAUGACGCAGGCCUUCGGGUCGUAAAGUUCUUUCGACAGGGAAGAAAAUGCCUAUAAGUAACUGUGUAUGUAUUGACGGUACCUGUAUACGCAGCCCCGGCUAACUCCGUGCCAGCAGCCGCGGUAAUAAGGAGGGGGCGAGCGUUGUUCGGAGGGACUGGGCGUAAAGAGCACGUAGGCGGUGUUGUAAGUCAUUAGUCAAAGACUAGAGCUCAACUUUAGUAAGGCUGGUGAUACUAUAAUACUAGAGUAUCAGAGAGGAUUGCAGAAUUCCUGGUGUAGCGGUGAAAUGCGUAGAUAUCAGGAGGAAUACCGUUAGCGAAGGCGGCAAUCUGGCUGGAAACUGACGCUGAGGUGCGAAAGCGUGGGUAGCAAACAGGAUUAGAUACCCGGGUAGUC
rnacentral:rRNA from 1 species